rnacentral:rRNA from 1 species
AAUGGGCGAGAGCCUGAACCAGCCAAGUAGCGUGAGGGAUGACUGCCCUAUGGGUUGUAAACCUCUUUUAUAAGGGAAUAAAACGCUCCACGUGUGGAGCUUUGCAUAUACCUUUUGAAUAAGGAUCGGCUAACUCCGUGCCAGCAGCCGCGGUAAUACGGAGGAUCCGAGCGUUAUCCGGAUUUAUUGGGUUUAAAGGGUGCGUAGGCGGACUGAUAAGUCAGCUGUGAAAGUUUGCGGCUCAACCGUAAAAUUGCAGUUGAAACUGUUAGUCUUGAGUGUACAUAAGGUAGGCGGAAUUCGUGGUGUAGCGGUGAAAUGCUUAGAUAUCACGAAGAACUCCAAUUGCGAAGGCAGCUUACCGGGGUUCAACUGACGCUGAGGCACGAAAGCGUGGGUAUCAAA